AAUGAACGCUGGCGGCAUGCCUAACACAUGCAAGUCGAACGAAGCCUUCGGGCUUAGUGGCGCACGGGUGCGUAACGCGUGGGAAUCUGCCCUUGGGUUCGGAAUAACUCUCCGAAAGGAGUGCUAAUACCGGAUGAUGUCGAAAGACCAAAGAUUUAUCGCCCAGGGAUGAGCCCGCGUAGGAUUAGCUAGUUGGUGAGGUAAAAGCUCACCAAGGCGACGAUCCUUAGCUGGUCUGAGAGGAUGAUCAGCCACACUGGGACUGAGACAUGGCCCAGACUCCUACGGGAGGCAGCAGUGGGGAAUAUUGGACAAUGGGCGAAAGCCUGAUCCAGCAAUGCCGCGUGAGUGAUGAAGGCCUUAGGGUUGUAAAGCUCUUUUACCCGGGAUGAUAAUGACAGUACCGGGAGAAUAAGCCCCGGCUAACUCCGUGCCAGCAGCCGCCGCGG
rnacentral:rRNA from 1 species